rnacentral:tRNA from 1 species
UUGGAUCACCUCCUAACAGGGAGACAACACAAUGAUUUUGAUGCCUGAGUAUUUUUAUUCUUAGGCCGAAAUCCUGUCACCUUAGGUCGAUCGGUACCUCAGCUUUGAAGUUAAGAAUCAGCAGCAAUGUUGAUUGCUUGAUGGAGAUUCUCAGUUCCUAAACUUUGUCUAGGUCACACCCCAAAAGGGAUGUGACUCCUGGGCCAUUAGCUCAGGUGGUUAGAGCGCACCCCUGAUAAGGGUGAGGUCCCUGGUUCAAGUCCAGGAUGGCCCAUUCGGUGUUGGGGGUUUAGCUCAGUUGGUAGAGCGCCUGCUUUGCAAGCAGGAUGUCAGGAGUUCGAGUCUCCUAACCUCCACUGACCGAACUUUAUCCCCGCUCCAUGUUAUGGAGUUGAGCUCGAUUGGAGUGUGAUUUAGAUGUGUCCGCUGGAUGACCCCAGCUUCCUGUCAUUCCAAGUUUUAGGUUAAAAGCCUUGAAUUUGGUUGAUAAGAUGUUGGGCUCAGAUCAGAUGAUCAAGUGAUUGAUGAUUUGAUUUGAAGUUCUAGCAGAACCUUGACAACUGCAUAGGUGAAGUCUGGAAAAACAAAGCAUCUUACAGAUGCAUUGUUUUGAGUCUGAUCUUCUGAAAGGAAGAUUAGAACCAGAACAAUGAAAAUUCUUUUGAGCAAGAGCCGAGACUCUUGAAUGUUCUUUGAUUCGUGUCGAGCGAAUCAGAGUUUGAUCUUGUUUUUAGCAAUAAAAACUUGAGAAUCUGCUUUCAACGGCGGUAAGCGUUCAAGAGGUUAAUUGGUCAAGCUACAAAGGGCUCACGGCGGAUACCUUGGCACACAGAGGCGAUGAAGGA